rnacentral:rRNA from 1 species
ACAACUUUCAACAAUGGAUCUCUUGGCUCUGGCAUCGAUGAAGAACGCAGCGAAAUGCGAUAAGUAGUGUGAAUUGCAGAAUUCAGUGAAUCAUCGAAUCUUUGAACGCACAUUGCGCCCCUCGGUAUUCCAUGGGGCAUGCCUGUUCGAGCGUCAUC